UACGGAGGGUGCAAGCGUUAUCCGGAUUCACUGGGUUUAAAGGGUGCGUAGGCGGGUUGGUAAGUCCGUGGUGAAAUCUCCGAGCUUAACUCGGAAACUGCCGUGGAUACUAUCAAUCUUGAAUAUCGUUGAGGUAAGCGGAAUAUGUCAUGUAGCGGUGAAAUGCUUAGAUAUGACAUAGAACACCAAUUGCGAAGGCAGCUUACUGAGCGGUCAUUGACGCUGAGGCACGAAAGCGUGGGGAGCAAACAGG
rnacentral:rRNA from 1 species